rnacentral:rRNA from 1 species
GACGAACGCUGGCGGCGUGCUUAACACAUGCAAGUCGAACGGAAAGGCCCUGCUUUUGUGGGGUGCUCGAGUGGCGAACGGGUGAGUAACACGUGAGUAACCUGCCCUUGACUUUGGGAUAACUUCAGGAAACUGGGGCUAAUACCGGAUAGGAGCUCCUGCUGCAUGGUGGGGGUUGGAAAGUUUCGGCGGUUGGGGAUGGACUCGCGGCUUAUCAGCUUGUUGGUGGGGUAGUGGCUUACCAAGGCUUUGACGGGUAGCCGGCCUGAGAGGGUGACCGGCCACAUUGGGACUGAGAUACGGCCCAGACUCCUACGGGAGGCAGCGGUGGGGAAUAUGGCACAAUGGGCGGAAGCCUAAUGCAGCAACGCCGCGUGCGGGAUGACGGCCUUCGGGUUGUAAACCGCUUUCGCCUGUGACGAAGCGUGAGUGACGGUAAUGGGUAAAGAAGCACCGGCUAACUACGUG